rnacentral:rRNA from 1 species
AUGCAAGUCGAACGAGAAAGCCGCAAGGUGAGUAAAGUGGCGUACGGGUGAGUAACACGUGGAUGAUCUGCCCUUUAGUGGGGAAUACCGUUGGGAAACCGACGACAAUACCGCAUAAGCUCGAGAGAGGAAAGCAGCAAUGCGCUGAAGGAGGAGUCCGCGGCUGAUUAGCUAGUUGGUAGGGUAAAAGCCUACCAAGGCUGUGAUCGGUAGCCGGCCUGAGAGGGCACACGGCCACACUGGCACUGAAACACGGGCCAGACCCCUACGGGAGGCAGCAGUGGGGAAUCUUGCACAAUGGGGGAAACCCUGAUGCAGCGACGCCGCGUGAGCGAUGAAGCCCUUCGGGGUGUAAAGCUCUUUCGGCAGGGACGAUAAUGACGGUACCUGCAGAAGCAGCUGCGGCUAACUACGUGCCAGCAGCCGCGGUAAUACGUAGGCAGCAAGCGUUGUUCGGAGUUACUGGGCGUAAAGGGUGCGUAGGCGGUCCUGUAAGUAUGGUGUGAAAUCUCCCGGCUUNACUGGGAGGGUGCGCUAUAGACUGCGGGACUA